rnacentral:rRNA from 1 species
UACGGGGGGGGCAAGCGUUGUUCGGAAUUACUGGGCGUAAAGGGCUCGUAGGUGGCCAACUAAGUCAGACGUGAAAUCCCUCAGCUUAACUGGGGAACUGCGUCUGAUACUGGAUGGCUUGAGAUUAGGAGAGGGAUGCGGAAUUCCAGGUGUAGCGGUGAAAUGCGUAGAUAUCUGGAGGAACACCGGUGGCGAAGGCGGCAUCCUGGACCAACACUGACACUGAGGAGCGAAAGCCAGGGGAGCAAACGGG